rnacentral:rRNA from 1 species
UACAGAGGUCUCAAGCGUUGUUCGGAUUCAUUGGGCGUAAAGGGCGCGUAGGCGGUCAGUGCAAGUCAGUUGUGAAAUCUCCGGGCUUAACUCGGAAAGGUCAACUGAUACUGCUCGACUAGAGUGCGGAAGGGGCAACUGGAAUUGCUUGGUGUAGCGGUAAAUGCGUAGAUAUCAAGAGGAACACCUGCGGCGAAAGGCGGG